rnacentral:rRNA from 1 species
AUACGGAGGAUCCGAGCGUUAUCCGGAUUUAUUGGGUUUAAAGGGAGCGUAGGCGGACGCUUAAGUCAGUUGUGAAAGUUUGCGGCUCAACCGUAAAAUUGCAGUUGAUACUGGGUGUCUUGAGUACAGUAGAGGCAGGCGGAAUUCGUGGUGUAGCGGUGAAAUGCUUAGAUAUCACGAAUAACUCCGUUUGCGAAGGCAGCUUGCUGAAAUGGAAAUGACGCUGAUGCUCGAAAGGGUGGGUAUCAAACAGGAUUAGAUACCCUGGUAGUCCACACAGUAAACGAUGAAUACUCGCUGUUUGCGAUAUACAGUAAGCGGCCAAGCGAAAGCGUUAAGUAUUCCACCUGGGGAGUACGCCGGCAACGGUGAAACUCAAAGGAAUUGACGGGG